GGAGAGGUGGCUGAGUGGCUGAAAGCGGCAGGUUGCUAACCUGUUAUACGUUUUUUUAAGCGUAUCGAGAGUUCGAAUCUCUCUCUCCGCA
rnacentral:tRNA from 1 species